rnacentral:lncRNA from 10 species
UGCCAAGUUGGCCAGGCUGGUUUCAAACUCCUGACCUCAAGUGAUCCGCCCGCCUCGGCCUCCCAAAGUGCUGGGAUUAUAGAUGUGCGCCACCGCGCCCAGCCCUGGCAAUCUUUUAAUUGAUGCACCUGCUCCUGCUGUGAGUGAGGUGGACUCCACCCCGGGAGGCUGGUGACCUAUCAUCUCAGCUUUGCCCUUCUAUUGGGAAACUGAGGCACAGAAGGGGAGAAGGUCCUUGUGCCAGGUCAUAGGUCUUCUCGGUGCCAGAGCCAAGGUUGGAGGCAGCCUGGCUCUGCAGUGGUCAUCUCGCUGCGGGACAACUGAAGAGUUGGAGAACCUCCUCAGGCCUGGGCUCCACCCUGCUGCCCACCUGUGGCUCUAUGCCCUUAGGCAGGUGGCUUCACUGUUCACUGGCCUCUCAUCUGUAAAAUGGGCACAGUGGCUCCUAUGCAGCAGGCUGCGAGGCUUUGAGAUGCUGCAUAGAAAGCUCCUGAUGCGGGGUAGUUGCUCAGUAAGUAGCACCUCUCUGUCCUUGCUGAGCUCACGUUAUCAGCAGUAAGAGGUUGGGGUACUGGGCUGGCCAUAACCUCCACUCCCCACCUUGGCUGUUAUCACAGCAGCCUCCUCGCUGCUCCUGUAGUCCUCUCUCCACUGCUCACUGGCUCCUGGCACAAUGGCCUCCUUGCUUGCUGUGGCAGGUGUCAUGUUCUCUGCCAGCACCAGUUCUUGCCUCUCCUUGUAUUGCAACCCUCACUCCUGCACAGCUGGCUUGUUCUUGUCAAGCUCCCAUGUCCCACCUCUUAGGGAGGCUCCCCACUCCCAUCACACAGCAGCCACCUGGUGGUCAUCAAUCACCUCCUGUUAUAGUCACUCAUAACCUGUCACCCUUGCAGACCUGCCUUCCAGGUAUUUGUUUGUUGUCUACUCCCACCUGGCUGUGAGCUCCACGGUCAGGGAUCCCCUUGGUUCUGUUCCCUGCAGCUCAUGACCUGGCAUAGUAGAUCCUCAACAAAUAUCUGAGGAACGAACAGAAACAUAAGUGAACGGACUUCUCAGAUCUCUUCCAGCUCUGUCAGUGUUUUAAGAUGCUAUGGAAGAUACUGAAAUAACUGAGGCAAUGCAGUGGGGCUUCCUAAUGGAGGGAUCAGGCUGGCAAUACCAGAACGCACCAAGCCUUCUUAGUAUCACCCAGAAAGCGUUCUUAGUAUGCUCCAGAUGUGAUCCCAUAGGAAGGACACAGCACUUCCCAGGAAGUCCGCUUGCUAGAAUGAUUGACCCUACAUCACCUCAACCCUCUGGACCUAAACACCAGUCUACAGGAAGCAGGAGGACAGUGCAACAUGUUAAAUGACACCACGAGGGUUCGGUCUGCCACAUCAACAAUGAGGACAGUCUCACAUGACGAAGGGCCUGGUUUCCUCAACAAGUAAAAGGGCAUAAAAAGGAAGAGAGUAAAGACUGUUAGAGAGGAAAAUAGAUUUAAGGGAUAAAGUACCAAAAUGCAAUGUAUGGGUCGGGUGCCAUGGCUCACGCCUGUAAUCCCAGCACUUUGGGAGGCCAAGGUGGGCGGAUCACCUGAGGUCAGGAGUUCCAGACCAGCCUGGCCAACAUGGAGAAACCCUGUCUCUACUGAAAAUACAGAAAUUAGCCAGGCGUGGUGGCGGGCACCUGUAAUCCCAGCUACUUGGGAGGCUGAGGCGGGAGAAUUGCUUGAACCCUGAGGCGAAGGUUGCAGUGAGCCGAGAUCGCGCUGCUGCAUUCCAGCCUGGGCAACGAGACUUUGUUUAGAUCUUUAUUCAAGCAGACGAACCCUAAAAAGGCAUUUUUCAGGAAAAUGAGAAAAUUUGAAGAUGGACUGCAUAUUAGAGGAUCUUAAGGAAUGGUUCAUUUUAUUAGGUAUGGUGAUGAUGUUGGGCUUAUUUUUAGAAAUGUGCUAGUGUGUGAGAGAUACAUUCUGAAAUAUUAAUGGGUGAAAUGAUCUGAUGUCUGACAUUUUUGUUAAAAAGGGGCUUGAGGGAGGAAUGGAAUGAGAAUGGCAAAGUGGGUAUGGCAGUUAGAGCUGGGUGAUGGGUGCGUGGGAGUGCCUCAUACCAGUCCCUCUACUUCUGUAGGGGUUUGAGACUUUCCAUAAUAAAAGUAAAAUGGAAUAAAUAAA